rnacentral:rRNA from 1 species
UUAAGCAUAUCAAUAAGCGGAGGAAAAGAAACUAACAAGGAUUCCCCUAGUAACUGCGAGUGAAGAGGGAAAAGCUCAAAUUUAAAAUCUGGCAGUCUUUGAUUGUCCGAGUUGUAAUUUAGAGAAGUGUUACCCGUGCUGGACCGUGUACAAGUCUCCUGGAAUGGAGCGUCAUAGAGGGUGAGAAUCCCGUCUUUGACACGGACUCCCAGUGCAUUGUGGUAUGCUCUCAAAGAGUCGAGCUGUUUGGGAAUGCAGCUCUAAAUGGGUGGUAAAUUCCAUCUAAAGCUAAAUAUUGGCGAGAGACCGAUAGCGAACAAGUACCGUGAGGGAAAGAUGAAAAGAACUUUGGAAAGAGAGUUAAACAGUACGUGAAAUUGCUGAAAGGGAAACGCUUGAAGUCAGUCGCGUUGGCUAGGGAUCAACCUUGCUUUAGUGGGGUGUACUUCCUAGUUGACGGGUCAGCAUCAGUUUUGACCACUGGAAAAAGGCUUUGGGAAUGUGGCAACUCCGGUUGUGUUAUAGCCCAUUGUCGUAUACAGUGGUUGGGACUGAGGAACUCAGCACGCCGCAAGGCCGGGAUUCGUCCGCGUUCGUGCUUAGGAU